rnacentral:rRNA from 1 species
GACGAACGCUGGCGGCGUGCUUAACACGUGCAAGUCGAACGGAAAGGCCCUGCUUUUGUGGGGUGCUCGAGUGGCGAACGGGUGAGUAACACGUGAGUAACCUGCCCUUGACUUUGGGAUAACUUCAGGAAACUGGGGCUAAUACCGGAUAGGAGCUCCUGCUGCAUGGUGGGGGUUGGAAAGUUUCGGCGGUUGGGGAUGGACUCGCGGCUUAUCAGCUUGUUGGUGGGGUAGUGGCUUACCAAGGCUUUGACGGGUAGCCGGCCUGAGAGGUUGACCGGCCACAUUGGGACUGAGAUACGGCCCAGACUCCUACGGGAGGCAGCAGUGGGGAAUAUUGCACAAUGGGCGGAAGCCUGAUGCAGCAACGCCGCGUGCGGGAUGACGGCCUUCGGGUUGUAAACCGCUUUCGCCUGUGACGAAGCGUGAGUGACGGUAAUGGGUAAAGAAGCACCGGCUAACUACGUG